ACAUCCAGAGAACUUAGCAGAGAUGCUUUGGUGCCUUCGGGAACUCUGAGACAGGUGCUGCAUGGCUGUCGUCAGCUCGUGUUGUGAAAUGUUGGGUUAAGUCCCGCAACGAGCGCAACCCUUAUCCUUUGUUGCCAGCGGUUCGGCCGGGAACUCAAAGGAGACUGCCGGUGAUAAACCGGAGGAAGGUGGGGAUGACGUCAAGUCAUCAUGGCCCUUACGGCCAGGGCUACACACGUGCUACAAUGGCGCAUACAAAGAGAAGCGACCUCGCGAGAGCAAGCGGACCUCAUAAAGUGCGUCGUAGUCCGGAUUGGAGUCUGCAACUCGACUCCAUGAAGUCGGAAUCGCUAGUAAUCGUAGAUCAGAAUGCUACGGUCGAAUACGUUCCCGGGCCUUGUACACACCGCCCGUCACACCAUGGGAGUGGGUUGCAAAAGAAGUAGGUAGCUUAACCUUCGGGAGGGCGCUUACCACUUUGUGAUUCAUGACUGGGGUGAAGUCGUAACAAGGUAAGCGUAGUGCU
rnacentral:rRNA from 1 species